rnacentral:tRNA from 2 species
GCAGUCGUGGCCGAGUGGUUAAGGCGAUGGACUUGAAAUCCAUUGGGGUCUCCCCGCACAGUUUUGAAUCCUGUCGACUGCG